UAGUUUCUAGGUUAAAUUUAAACCUUCAUAGUUCAAAUAUGACAAUAUAUAAAAAAUGUGAAACUAA
rnacentral:tRNA from 1 species